GGGGGGUGGAUAAAUGUUGGAUCUUGGUGAAUUUUGAGGGGUUUUUGAAGUGUUGGAAGGUUAAAAAUUGGAUCUUGGUGAAUUUUGAGGGGUUGUAGUUUAUGGUUAUGUUUUUUGUGAUUGUAUAAGUUUGAUUUGUGGGGGGGAGGUUAAAAAUUGGAUCUUGGUGAAUUUUGAGGGGUUUUAAAGUAUUAGAUUUGGGGUUUUUCUAGGGUUUAUGAUGACCAAAUUUGGGAAAUUUAGUAAUGUGAUUUGGUAAUUGUUAUGGAUCUCUUAUGCUGAAUUGUGUUUGGUUUAUGCCUUUAUUUUGUUUUAGUUUGUUGUGGGGAAGGUUAAAAAUUGGAUCUUGGUGAAUUUUGAGGGGUCUUAAAGUAUUCUGUGUGUAUUCAUAUUCUCUGUGUGAAAGUUUUGAAUUUUGAUAGAUCUGUAUAGUUUUUAUGUGAAAUCAAGUGUGGUG
rnacentral:lncRNA from 1 species